UACUCAGAGGUAGGUAUGGUAAUAUCAUUUCAUCGGGUAAAAUUGUUUUUUUGAUAAUACUCAGAGGUAGAUAUGGUAAUAACAUUUCAUCGGGUAAAAUUGUUUUUCUGAUAGUACUCAGAGGUAGGUAUGGUAAUAACAUUUCAUCUGGUAAAAUUGUUUUUCUGAUAAUACUUAGAGGUAGGUAUGGUAAUAAUAUUUCAUUUAGUAAAAUUGUUUUUCUGAUAAAACUCAGAGGU